GAUGAACGCUGGCGGCGUGCCUAAUACAUGCAAGUCGAGCGAACGGACGAGAAGCUUGCUUCUCUGAUGUUAGCGGCGGACGGGUGAGUAACACGUGGAAAACCUACCUAUAAGACUGGGAUAACUUGGGGAAACCGGAGCUAAUACCGGAUAAUAUUUUGAACCGCAUGGUUCAAAGGUGAAAGACGGCCUUGCUGUCACUUAUAGAUGGAUCCGAGCUGCAUUAGGUAGUUGGUAAGGUAACGGCUUACCAAGGCAACGAUGCAUAGCCGACCUGAGAGGGUGAUCGGCCACACUGGAACUGAGACACGGUCCAGACUCCUACGGGAGGCAGCAGUAGGGAAUCUUCCGCAAUGGGCGAAAGCCUGACGGAGCAACGCCGCGUGAGUGAUGAAGGUCUUCGGAUCGUAAAACUCUGUUAUUAGGGAAGAACAUAUGUGUAAGUAACUGUGCACAUCUUGACGGUACCUAAUCAGAAAGCCACGGCUAACUACGUG
rnacentral:rRNA from 1 species